CCGUGGAUUUGAGGUUGACUUCAUUCUUAUUAAAUUGUAAAAAUUACACUCUUUUAUAAGAAACACAUGGAAAAGAUCUCAUGGAAAAAUAAUUGGAAUAGUUUGGAAAAUACUGAGGUAUGGAAUUCUAGACACUUUCUUCAUGGAGGCUCAUGGAGGAUUUCCUAUCAAAAUGUUUAUAAAAGAAGGCUGGCAGUUCAAACAGCCUAUCUUUUAAGGAGAAGAUAUUUAAUUUUUUUAAUCGGGAGGACACUGUUAACAACAAGAAGCAUGUACACAUCAGCUGUUGGAAUUUUCCAGCUACACUGCAGGACCUGCAGUAUGAUGUUGAAAAGCAGCAGCAAUAGGGGACAUCCUUGCCUUGUCACCGGUCUUAGUGAGAGAGCUUCCAGUUUCUCACUAACUUGGGGCUCUCGCUGUUGGCACUGAACAACAUGGAGAGUGAAAAAGACAUCAAUGAAGAAACUAUCAUCAAAAAGCUUAAUUAUUAGUAUUCCUUACAAUGACUCAUAUAAUCCUUACAAUAUAAAUAAAAAUCAAGUUCUC
rnacentral:lncRNA from 1 species